UACGUAGGGUGCGAGCGUUAAUCGGAAUUACUGGGCGUAAAGCGUGCGCAGGCGGUUCGUUAUGGCCGGUGUGAAAGCCCCGAGCUCAACUUGGGAAUGGCAUUGGAAACUGGCGGGCUGGAGUGUGGCAGAGGGGGGUGGAAUUCCACGUGUAGCAGUGAAAUGCGUAGAGAUGUGGAGGAACACCGAUGGCGAAGGCAGCCCCCUGGGCCAACACUGACGCUCAGGCACGAAAGCGUGGGGAGCAAACAGG
rnacentral:rRNA from 1 species